GAAGAGAAGUGCAGGUCAUCCCCCACCUCAGAUACUUGCCAGAUAGGUCUGUAUACUAAACUAAUGUGAGCACAGACAACAUUAUGUCUGUGGACCAUAAGUCCACGUCGAUGUUAUUUGUGUGGAUAAGGAAGAAAGUGAAUGUAGUGUUAUAUGUAUAUAUUUUCAGCCUGUUCACCAUUCCUGCGAUGGAUUGCAGAGAGAAGAGCGGGUGAAUGUAUUCUCCUUCAGCAGGAGAUAAGGCAUAGGAGAAAGCCACAUCACUUAAGACAUGGACAUCAAACACAGGGAGGUCGUACAGUGGCUCCAGGAAAUAUAUGGAAAAGAUCAAAUUCCUCCAUAUGAGAAGGCUGAAACCAGCAUAAACAUUCUUCAUCAACUGAUGACAGCAAGUAAAUGCUCAGAAGGAAAUGCUAAACUCCUCGCUGAUGAUUAUUCUCAGAAAUCAUCUGAAUAUGGUGCAGAAGGUAAUUUUGAAUAAUUAAGAACUGGAAUAACUUUUAAGCAGGGACUGAAUUGGUUUUUAAAUUGGAAU